GCAAACUUGGUCAUUUAGAGGAAGUAAAAGUCGUAACAAGGUUUCCGUAGGUGAACCUGCGGAAGGAUCAUUACUGAAGGACCCACACUUCCAUUGGUGCCUCUUGAUCUUGACCUUGGUGCUUCAUCCCUCCUGGGGUUGAGUGCCUUUCAAGAUGUCCUUACCUACACACAAACCUGUCAUCGUAUGGUGCUGAACAUUUAACAUAUGUAAUACAACUUUCAACAACGGAUCUCUUGGCUCUCGCAUCGAUGAAGAACGCAGC
rnacentral:misc_RNA from 1 species